CUAGCAGUCACUGCUUGGGCUACCUCGCCAUAUGGCAAGUCAGGAGAUCAAGAAUUUCAACUCAGAAAACUUCAUGAAGGUAAAUGUAUUCAGUGUACCAGGUAUUCUGAGGCAUGUACCAUGGACUACACACUUCACUGUGGAUCUGAUGGAAAUGUAUAUUCCAACAGAUGUACCUUUUGCAAUACCGUUGUGAAGAGCCAAGGUGCAAUUUGGUUGAAAAAUUAUGGAUUGUGCUGAAUCUCCCUGAUGCUUAAGGAUAUCAAGUCUCCUUUGGCAGAUUCCACUUAGAUAACCAGUUUGUCUUGGACGGCUGAGGAGGCAAGCAAUAAUCUGGUACAAACAUGGAUUUGAGUCUUCAACAAAGUAUUCUCAGCAAGGAACUGACUAUCAGUCCUAUCUGUGGAUGUGAUUCUUCUCUUAAGGAGAAUAUCUAUGGUCAUUUUCCUAAGCUAAAAAUCAUAUAGAAAGAUUUUCUCUAUUUCUAUACAAAUUGGGAACUAGAUAUUAUACACACAAUGGUGAGAAGAGAAUAUGCUUAUAUCAUGUUUAAAAGACUCAAUUGUUUUAAGUAAACAUGAGUCAGAGGA
rnacentral:lncRNA from 10 species